CAACGUGUAGUCAUUUCGCUAUAUAUACCGACUCCGGUGAGUAGAAAGCCAAGUAGGGUUCGGUCGCCGCCGCCGCCGCAGGAUUCUUAUCUCUGCCCUAUGAUUCCUCCGUCUCGAUCGAAUGAUCCAAGUUACUGACCCGUUCGAUCUCUCAGCCGACGAAGACAACGACGACGAACCUUCUCAUUUCAUAGCCGCUCAAUAGCAGAGGGACGCUGCCAAGAAGAUACCCGGUCCUACAGGCACUCCGCCGGCGACCAGGUUCUUUUCUCUCCGAAGCAUUGUCGCACCACCUUCUCGUGCUGGAGCGGUCUUGAAUAUUGAUUUUGAGAGCGGUGAUGCAAAGAAUGACGAGAAGGAAGAUGAGCAAUAACAACAAUCGCAAGGGGGCCUCAGCAAACGAGACCGAAGGAAAGGAACCACCUUAGGUCAAGGUACCACCCUAUUCUGUCCUCUUUGACUCUAUGGGUAUAUCAUAUAUACUUUAAGGUGUAAUUACUUGGUCUUUCUUAUAGAAGAAAGAGACAAUGGGCAAUUUGGUUGGAUGAUUCUUGAAGUUAAGUCACAAUGAAGUCUUUUUUUUUGUCCAUGAUGAUUGCGGUGGUUCGACAAUCUAAAUGACAUGGGAAGGAUCUUGCAGAACAAAUUAGAUACACGUUAUUUCACCAUCUUCAGAACAAGCUGAAGACUUAUUGCCUUUUUUUUUUUGAACUCUUUCAAUUGCAUCAUGUUACAUUAAAUUGGGCAAACAUUCUCUAUAUCAUUUUUGCCUUUGAGAGAACUAGGUGGCUUGCGAUAAAGCUCUUAAUGUACCACUUUGGUUCCGUUGCAGGCAUAUAUUAAAGUAUACUUACGGCCCUUUCUUUGAAAAUUUCUUUAAGCAACAAACGUUGCUUGCAAGAAGGGCCUUGGAAAUCUUAUGCUUUCAGAUUUUUUUCAUAUUUCUUUGUUGGGAAAUAGAAUUUGGGUGGACAAACCAAAAGUACAAUUUGUCUGCAAAUAUGAGGCCUUUUUAUGCAUUAAUAUAUCUAAUGUGCUCUUAUUUAUGCUUAUGGCCGAUCCAAAGGGUCUUGCAUGGUGUAAAACCAAGAGCAUAUGCAAGUGCUCCAUUUCACCCGGCCAAAAUGUAUGCUUGUGGCAGCAUCAAGGUUUUGGCAUGUCUUCCAGGUCAUGUAUGAUUCAGAAAGCUGCCAUACAUGUAAUAAACAUUUGGUCAUGAGGUAAUAUAUGGUUGUUGUGUGGUAGUUGGAAGCUUUUAAGAAUGACAAUGUUAUAUGAUUGUUGUGUGGUAGCUAGAAGUUUUUAAGAAUGACAAUUCUUGAACAAGUUCAAAGCACCUUAUUCCAGCACCAAACUUCUUACUCCUGAGGUGAUGGUCGUAAUCUAUUGCCUUUUUUUACAUUACAUCGAAAUGGGUAAAUCUUCUCUAUAUUCAAUUUUGCCUUUGAGAGAACUUGGUGGCUUGCUUUUAAGCUCUUAAUGUGCCACUUUGGUUCCGUUGCAGGCAUAUACUAAAGUAUUCUUACAGCCCUUUCUUUGAAAAUUUCUUUGAGCAACAUGUUGCUUGCAAUAAGGGCCUUGGAAAUCUAUUGCGUUCGGCUUUCUUGUCUAUUUCUUUGUCGGAGAAUAGGAUUCAGUGACUUGCGGCUAACGAAUUCCACUUAGUUAGUAAAACCAAAAAUGCAAUUAGUUUUCAUAUGUGAUGCCUUUUGGCACAUUAAGAUAUCCAGCUUUGCUCCUUUUAUGCCUGUGGCUGAUCCAAAGGGCCUUGCAUGGUGUAGAAGUAGAACUACGAGGAACAAGUUGAAAGCACCAUACUCCAGCACUUAACUUCUUGCUCCUGAGGGUGGAUGGGCAUUACCUAUUGCCUCUUUUAACUCUUUCAAGUGCAUCACAUUUCAUAAAAAUGGAUAAAUAUCUCUAUAUUCAUUUAUGCCUUUGAGAGAACUAGGUGGCUUGCUUUAAAGCUCGUAAUGUGCCAUUUCAGUUCCGUAGCAGGCAUAUACUAAAGUUUACUUACAGCCCUUUCUUUGAAAAUUUCUUUAAGCAACAAAAUGUUGUUUGCAUGAAGGGCCUUGGAAAUAUAUCAUACUCAGACUUCUUGCCUAUUUCUUUGUCGGAGAACAGGAUUCAGUGACUUACUGUUAAUUAAGUCCACGUAGUUAGUCAAACCAAAAGCACAGUAAGCCUUCAUAUGUGAUGUCUUUUGGGGAUUAAGAUAUCUAAAUUUGCUCUUUUUUAUGCCCAUGGCCGAUCCAAAGGGUCUUGCAUGGUGUAAAACCGAUAGCAUAUGCAAGUGCUCCAUUUCACCCGGUCAAAAUGUAUGCUUGUUGCAGCAUCAAGGUUUCGGCAUGUCUUCCUGGUCAUGUGUGAUUCAGAAAGCUGCCAUACAUGUAAUAAACAUUUGGUUAUGAGGUAAUAGAUAUGUGCUUUUUAUAUAGUAGCUAGAAGUUUCUAGCCAUGGUAUUCUUAUACUCUUUAAACCUGCUCAAGAGACAGUUGCGCAAUAGGUGUUCUGGCAAUUUUUUCUGGAGGGUGCUGUUUCUGUGGGUUCUUACUUGCAUGGACUCUUGUACAUAUCUGCUUCAGAUAUCCAAGUAUUGUUAUAUGAUUUGUGAUGAGAUACAUUGGAACUGUUGGCCAUGCUUCUGACAUGCAUUUGAUUAUGAAUUAUCUAUUUGUCCUUUUUAUUUAUGAUGAAACACUUCUACUCAGAUAUUUUGCUAGUAAGGUGGGCUCAGAUAUUCUCAAACAAGAGAAUUUAAUCAAAAUAUGUUGAAAUAUUGCUUAAUUGUUUGACACAGAGAGAAAGAGAGAUAAGUAGGUACCAUAGAAAUUUGUUGUUUUCAUGAAAAAUAAGUUCACAUUUCAGUUAAUUAGACUCUUGUAAACAAAGAAUAGCACUAAAAUUAAUAUUCCUAUAACUGGGCAAUUGAAUAAACACAUCAGAAGAAUUUCCCAAAUUUGUCUCUUAGUUGACUAUGUAUGCUACUGAUCUGUUAGCAAAUUAAACUUCAUGGAACCUCAACCUCUAACCAUUCUCUAUGGAGAAGGUUAAUCUGAAUGAAAGAACCACUGAGUCUAAACAGAAACCAGACUCAUGGAGCCAUUUAAGAUUCUAAUUGAUCACUUUCAUGCUCAAGAUUAUGGUUAUUUUUUUCCGCAUGUGGUCUAUAGUUGCAAUUGAAGGUUUGCCAGACAUUGAGGUGAGUGGCUUUCAGUUGAUCAUUUGCUCUACUAUAGAAGGACCUUACUGGUAUUUCCAUAUCAUAAAUGACUCAGUUUUAAUCCAAGCUUUCAGUUCGGAUAUAGAGUGGAAUCUACUUAUAUAUGCUGCUUCACUAGAGUGAGAUUAUUCCUUUAUCAAUUUAGAUAUCUAUAUGUAAAAAGGAAUAUAAGUGAAAAUCCACCACUGAGAGGAAGUAUGAUUAAACAAAAAGGAAUCACAAAAAACAUAAUGUAUCUUUUUUGCCUGUUGAAAUUCCUCUUCAGAUUCUUUUACAUGUUGGGUUUCUUUUUCUGUUUGGAAAAAAGGCCUGCCUUUUUGUUGUUUGAUGACAUGGAUGCAUCUGAUUGACUUGUUACACUGGUUGGUGUAAGAAAUGACUCCGGAAGAGCACAAGAAAUUAAAGGAGGGAAAACUAAAAGUGCUACUUGCCAUGAAUUCUGAAGUGAGGAAAGUCAAAUUUGACUAGGAUUUCGAGUCAAUGCAACUGCUGUCUAUCAGGAAAGUAAAUAAUGAUGUUUUAAUUAAAUUGUUUAGCUUGGUUACAUUGCCACUUUAGACUCCGUGUAUGUAGAUUCUUAGUUAUUUGUUUUAUAUUUGAUGAUGGUCUUAACAGGGUUCUGAAGAGGUUAUGGGAAGACAAGAAAGAUACUGGUGAUGCUCAGGGACUGGUCAAGAAGAAGAUGAAUUGUUAAUUGAGAAGUUAAAACUUCUCAAUAAGCCUGCAGUGAAGAGCAUUAAGAGUGAAGAUGGUGACAUAAUAGAUUGUGUUGAUAUUUACAUGAAGCCACCUUUGGAUCAUCCACUACCCAAAGGUCAUAUCAUUAAGAACAUAACUUUUCCUUGGAUCAUAAACAUCUGAUUAUGAUCCAAGGAAAAGCUGUGUUGAAGAUGAGACCCGAUGAUGAGCAUUCAGAAGAAAGAGAUGGGGCUUCUUCCAACCCAACAAAUGGCUUACUCACUCUAGUGUGGUAGAAGAGUCAACUUCCCCUGUGGAACCAUACCCAUCGUACGUGUCCAAAGCCAUCACUUGUUGAAUGCUCCUUCGAUCCAAAACUACGGUAGGAAGCCAUGGAUUGGAGUUAAGAGACAGGUGGUUCGUUUGAACAACAGUGGACCAUUAGGUUAUGGAGCUGAAAACUCACAUGCUGUCGUCCGUGUCCAAAGGCAUCACUUGUUGAACACUCCUUCCAUCCAAAACUAUGGAAGAAGUGUUUGCUGAGCUCAGUAUGGUGGUCUUCUUGCUACUGGCGACGACAUUCUCGGAGCCAAAGCUGUCAUCAACCUCUGGAAUCUGUCGGUGCAGCAAGAUUCCGAGUUCUCCAGUGCAAAAAUCUGGCUCAGGAACCGGCCGACCGACCGUUCCAAUAACAUCGAAGCUGGAUGGAUGGUAAACCCUAGUGUUUCUAAUAAUAGGACGUCAAGGAUCUUUGCGUACUGGGCGGUAAAUCGUCUUCCUCCACCUUGUUUUCCGCGCUGCAGUCGAUCCUCGCAUGCCUGAAACCUGUUUGACCUAGCAGGCCGACUCUGGGAGGACGACGACAGGCUGCUUCAACCUCCUUUGUCCAGGUUUCGUGCAGACGAGCGAUAAAAUAGCCCUGCGAGCCUCCUUCACUAACGUAUCCACUGCAAUUUUUUGUUGAAAAAAAUUAAAUUAUUUUUUGUUAGAAACAGUAUUUAAAUACUAUUCAAUUAUUUCUUUUUUUU